rnacentral:rRNA from 1 species
AUUGAACGCUGGCGGCAGGCUUAACACAUGCAAGUCGAGCGGAGCGAGGGUGCUUGCACCUUAGCUUAGCGGUGGACGGGUGAGUAAUGCUUAGGAAUCUGCCUAUUAGUGGGGGACAACAUUCCGAAAGGGAUGCUAAUACCGCAUACGCCCUACGGGGGAAAGCAGGGGAUCGUCGGACCUUGCGCUAAUAGCUGAGCCUAAGUCGGAUUAGCUAGUUGGUGGGGUAAAGGCCUACCAAGGCGACGAUCUGUAGCGGGUCUGAGAGUAUGAUCCGCCACACUGGGACUGAGACACGGCCCAGACUCCUACGGGAGGCAGCAGUGGGGAAUAUUGGACAAUGGGCGGAAGCCUGAUCCAGCCAUGCCGCGUGUGUGAAGAAGGCCUUUUGGUUGUAAAGCACUUUAAGCGAGGGGGAGGCUACUAGUAUUAAUACUACUGGAUAGUGGACGUUACUCGCAGAAUAAGCACCGGCUAACUCUGUGCCAGCAGCCGCAGUAA